rnacentral:rRNA from 1 species
CACUUUCGUUCGGGACCUCCGAUCAGCAGAG